rnacentral:lncRNA from 1 species
AAGCUUUCAUAUCAAAAUCAUUAUGCAGGUUGUUUCUUAAACCCAUUGAACAUAAUGAUCCGACAUUAUCUCCCAAUUUUGAAUUCCCUGUAUUCGAAGCGGAAGAAGAUGAUGUUGAAGGGAUUCCUGUCGAGAUUUCCGGACUUCUUGAGCAAGAAAAGAAGAUCACUCAGCUGCAUCUCGAGAAUCAGCAGAACAGCCAACUGGGGCAUUAAAAAAAACAAAACAAAAAAA